AUGGGGGCCAGCCUCAGCCUCGUGCCGCUCAUCGACUACUUCGCCCGCCGGGAGUUCCUCGCCGCCGGCCUCCGCCCCCACUCGGUCACGCUCCCCUACCCCGACGGCGGGUCUACGGGCACAUGCACCGUGCACUACUGGGCGCCGGCGGGGGAGCCGCGGCUGCCGCCACUGCUGCUCAUCCACGGCUUCGGCCCUCGGGCCACCUGGCAGUGGCGCUGCCAGGUGGGGCCGCUGUCCCGCCAGUUCCACGUCAUCGUCCCGGACCUGCUCGGCUUCGGCGGCAGCUCCUGGGACUCGCCCUCGGCGCCGCCGCCGUCCGAGGCCACGCAGGCCGCGGCGCUCGCGGCGCUGCUGGACUCGGUGGAGGGGCUCAAGGGCAAGCGGGUGGCCGUGGCGGGCACGAGCUACGGCGGGUUCGUGGCGUACUGGCUGGCGCGCGCGGCGGGGCCCCGGAGGGUCGGCCCCGUGGUGAUCGCGAGCUCCGACCUGCUCAAGACGGCGGCCGACGACCGCGCGUUCCUGAAGAGGGCCGGCGAAGGGUGGAGCGGCGCGCACGAGCUGCUCCUGCCGGCCGAACCCGCCGCCAUGAGGAGGCUGAUGGAGAUGGCCGUGCACCGCCCCCCGCCGGCCAUGAUGACGCCGGACUUCGUCCUCCGGGACUUCAUCCAGAAACUGUUCAUGGACAACAGGGAGCAGCUCACCCAUCUUUUCAAGGGGAUCACGGUGGGCACCGACAAGUUCCAAGUCACACCAUUGUCCCAGGAAGUGUUGAUUGUCUGGGGAGAGCACGACCAGUUGUUCCCAGUAGACAAGGCCUACUCAAUUCAGAGGUCAUUGGAUGGGAACGCUAGAGUGGAGAUCAUCAAGAAGACGGGCCAUGCUCCACAGCUCGAGGACCCGGCCCGGUUCAACAACAUCAUGCUGGACUUCUUGACACCAAUGGCAGCUCGGUCUAUUUGA
rnacentral:rRNA from 1 species